GAUGAACGCUGGCGGCGUGCCUAAUACAUGCAGGUCGAGCGAACGGACGAGAAGCUUGCUUCUCUGAUGUUAGCGGCGGACGGGUGAGUAACACGUGGAUAACCUACCUAUAAGACUGGGAUAACUUCAGGAAACCGGAGCUAAUACCGGAUAAUAUUUUGAACCGCAUGGUUCAAAAGUGAAAGACGGUCUUGCUGUCACUUAUAGAUGGAUCCGCGCUGCAUUAGCUAGUUGGUAAGGUAACGGCUUACCAAGGCAACGAUGCAUAGCCGACCUGAGAGGGUGAUCGGCCACACUGGAACUGAGACACGGUCCAGACUCCUACGGGAGGCAGCAGUAGGGAAUCUUCCGCAAUGGGCGAAAGCCUGACGGAGCAACGCCGCGUGAGUGAUGAAGGUCUUCGGAUCGUAAAACUCUGUUAUUAGGGAAGAACAUAUGUGUAAGUAACUGUGCACAUCUUGACGGUACCUAAUCAGAAAGCCACGGCUAACUACGUG
rnacentral:rRNA from 1 species